GACGAACGCUGGCGGCGUGCUUAACACAUGCAAGUCGAACGGAAAGGCCCUGCUUUUGUGGGGUGCUCGAGGGGCGAACGGGUGAGUAACACGUGAGUAACCUGCCCUUGACUUUGGGAUAACUUCAGGAAACUGGGGCUAAUACCGGAUAGGAGCUCCUGCUGCAUGGUGGGGGUUGGAAAGUUUCGGCGGUUGGGGAUGGACUCGCGGCUUAUCAGCUUGUUGGUGGGGUAGUGGCUUACCAAGGCUUUGACGGGUAGCCGGCCUGAGAGGGUGACCGGCCACAUUGGGACUGAGAUACGGCCCAGACUCCUACGGGAGGCGGCAGUGGGGAAUAUUGCACAAUGGGCGGAAGCCUGAUGCAGCAACGCCGCGUGCGGGAUGACGGCCUUCGGGUUGUAAACCGCUUUCGCCUGUGACGAAGCGUGAGUGACGGUAAUGGGUAAAGAAGCACCGGCUAACUACGUG
rnacentral:rRNA from 1 species